AUGCAAGUCGAACGCGAAAGCCCCGCAAGGGGCAAGUAGAGUGGCAAACGGGUGAGUAACGCGUGGGUGACCUGCCUUCGAGUGGGGGAUAACGUUCCGAAAGGGACGCUAAUACCGCAUGACAUCCUGCUGUUGAAACAGUGGAGAUCAAAGCUGGGGAUCGCAAGACCCAGCACUCGGAGAGGGGCCCGCGUCCGAUUAGCUAGUUGGUGAGGUAACGGCUCACCAAGGCAACGAUCGGUAGCCGGCCUGAGAGGGCGGACGGCCACACUGGGACUGAGACACGGCCCAGACUCCUACGGGAGGCAGCAGUGGGGAAUUGUUCGCAAUGGGCGCAAGCCUGACGACGCAACGCCGCGUGGAGGAUGAAGAUCUUCGGGUCGUAAACUCCUUUCGAUCGAGACGAAAUCUCCGGGGGUGAACAACCUCCGGGGUUGACGGUACCGAGAGAAGAAGCCCCGGCUAACUCCGUGCCAGCAGCCGCGGUAAUACGGGGGGGGCAAGCGUUGUUCGGAAUUACUGGGCGUAAAGGGCUCGUAGGCGGCCAACUAAGUCAGACGUGAAAUCCCUCGGCUUAACCGGGGAACUGCGUCUGAUACUGGAUGGCUUGAGUCCGGGAGAGGGAUGCGG
rnacentral:rRNA from 1 species